rnacentral:ncRNA from 2 species
AUAAAUGAAUAACAACCACCAUCGUAUAAUAUUGGGGAUAAGGCCCAAGAGUUUCUACCGGACUACCGUAAAUGGUCCGACUACGAGGUAAUUGCUAGAUUAA